GGGACGCCUCUUUCAUUUUAUUGCACGCUCUGGCACAGAGGAUGUUUCAAAGCAGAGGCUGUGGCAUCCUUCCUCUCAGCAUCAUCAGCUACGACACUCUCACUUCAAAUUCUAAGGGAAGGGAUGAGGAACUGAGCAAUGGUAACUGAGUUACCAUUUCCUGCAGCACCCGAGUUUUCUUUGGAGGUUUCCCACUGAGGUAUGUAUUCAACUUUUUUGGCCUUCCUUAACUUAGGAACUCACGGUCUUAGGCAGAGAAGCAGUAAAAAAACACAGGAUUCAUAUGCAUGCACGAGUGUGUGCAUGCACGCACGCACAUACACACACAGUGCCCUAAGAAGAUAACUGAAAAAAAAAAUGCCUUUUCUGUACUGGUGAACCUCGAGACAUGAGAAAAAACAAGGUGAGUGCAACAAAUCAACAUAUAAAAAGAGACUUUCAUUAAACGGUCACCUGUCCUUACAAAGAGGAAGAGAUGGGAAGAUGUUACUAUAUGCUCACAGGUCAUUCGAGUUUCUUUCCAACAUUCCUGACUGACUAUAAAAACCUCUAAGGGCUGGAGAGGUGGUUUCACUUUCUAAUUAACCACCUUAAAAUGAAAUCCACCUAAUCUGUAGAAUGUACGGGUUAAGGCUGAGAUUUUACCAACCUGCAUGUACAAGCUAUUCGAAACGAUCCUAAGAACAACAGACGGUUGUUCUGGGUAACUUGGAACUCUAGCUGUUCAGAUGCAACCCAGAUGGGAAAAUAUGCUUCUGCAGAAAGUGAUGACGGACCUCUCUUUCACAUCAAAAUUUCAUCAUGGGAAUUCCAUCCAGUUUUCAUUUUACAUUUGGUUAAAAUAUUUUUCCAUACUUGCCAAGUCAUUUUUUGCCUAAGUUCUAAAUCUUUCAAUCUCUCCAAAUUUAAGUCACGAAGGCUAGCUAACUUGCAUUUCUCCCCAAAUUCCACAUUUCUUAUUCUUAAAAUCCUUAGCCAAUUUCUCAACCAGAGAAAGCAUAAAGUGGGGGCAAAUGAAUAAAUACAAUUAAGAUCUACAGGAACAAAAAGUACAGUUGCUUUUUUUUUUUUUUCUUUUUGAGACGGAGUCUUGCUCUGUCGCCCAGGCUAGAGUGCAGUGGUGCGAUCUCGGCUCACUGCAAGCUCUGCCUCCUGGGUUCACAGCAUUCUCCUGCCUCAGCCUCCCGAGUAGCUGGGACUACAGGCGCCCGCCACUACGCCCGGCUAAUUUUUUUUUUUUUUUUUUGUAUUUUUAGUAGAGACGGUGUUUCAUCGUGUUAGCCAGGAUGGUCUUGAUCUCCUGACCUCGUGAUCCACCUGCCUUGGCCUCCCAAAGUGCUGGGAUUACAGGCGUGAGUCAUCGCGCCCGACCUACAGUUGCUUUUUAGAAAUGAAAGGCUUCUAGGUCAAGUGUUUCCUGCCUGAGAUUCUGUGUGUAGAGUUAGCUAGGCCAGAAAUGCACUGGGUCCACCAGUUGGCACACAGUGGCUUUGAGAAUAAGGACACUCCACCGUAGAUACCUUCCAAGGGCCUCUGGUGACAUGAACAGCAAGGGGGGCAUCCGAUACAGGACAUUCUAACCCACAGGGCACUCGCACAUGGGUAGAAUGUGACUUCUAUGUACUGCUCUGCUCUCACAGAGGCCACUCAACAGUGUAACACCAAAGUACAUACAUGGCAUUCAAAAAGGAAAAGCAAAUUAUGCUUUCCAAGCGGCAGUGUGUUUUACCUUAUCAAAAUCAUCUGAGCAGUCAAGAUGACAAAGCAGUCAAUUUUUAAUACAAAUUAUUGGCUGGCUAGACACUGGAGAUCCAAAAUAGAUAAGACCCCACUUUUUUUCUUUCAGCAGUAGUGCUUGCAAAUAAGCCAGGUACAUAUAUUUCAAUACACAACUCAUAAUACUACUUCAAUCUAACUUCAUUUUCCAUAGUCAAUAACUAUUGAUUUAAAUUUCUCUACUAGCAUUCCUUUUUUCUGUGUUUAGCAUGUCUUAUAAAAGAAUAAGAUGGCAUUUGUUCAGUUAAUUUUGUUUUUGAAAUGGUGUUUUAGAUGGG
rnacentral:lncRNA from 10 species